UCGCACCUGCAACCUGUAACUUAGGAGCUAUUUUGUUGCAUGUAUCUUCAACUGCACUACAAUUGAAAAUGCAUGCAUCUAUUAAAUUUUUGUUUGGUUUGGUGUAGUUAGGCUCAACUGCUGCAGUUGCAUCUGUAUGAGAAGGCCCAACUACAGCAGUUGGGCCGGAGUCAACUCACCCAUUAAAAAAAUAAUAAAAUGUGAUUUUUUUAUACGCUUCUUUUUUUAUUUUUUCCAAGAAUACCUAUUCAUGAAAUCUGUUAAAAUUUAAUAAUGUCUGCUGGGGUCAAUAAAUUUUUUUCAUAUACUUUUUUUUCAGUCUGCUAGUUUAAUAAUGUUUUAAUUUGCUUUGACCAAAUCUAUAAUAUAUUUACAUUUAAAAUUUAUUAAAUUCAUAUAUAAUUUUAUAAUAUAUAAAUUAUAUAUAGAUAUAAAAAUUUAAAAUAUAAUUACGUUAUGUUUACAGGAGGUAAUCUCACAUUUCUAUCUAAAAAUUAACAGAAUUUAUAAAUACAAAUCUCAACUGCAGACUACCAAGCAGAAAAAUAUAUAACUGUAGCAGAUGCACCUGUAUAAAACCAAAUAGAUUAGAUAUAAUUACAACUGUAAUAUUUAUAACUGUAUGUAUUUUUAACUAUACUAUUUGUAUAACUAUAUCAAACCAAACGGCCCUAGUGUCUUCUCUGCUCCAUUC
rnacentral:lncRNA from 1 species